GGCCCCUUCCUUCCAUAAGACCUACUCAGGACUCCACUGGGCUGCUGACUACUCACCCUCCCCUCAGGUCAUCUCCUGACCCGUACACAGUUAUGUCCACCCAGGGUCUGCUUGGACACCUGUGCCUGAUGUUCACCAGGGGCCAGAUGUCGUCCUCAGGCCUGAUGUCCACCUAGGGCCUGAUGACUGCCUUGGCCUAUGUCCCUCUGGGGGCCUUGUGUUCACCUGGGGACUGUAUCCAGCUGGGGCCUGAUGGCCUACUGGGUCUUGUUGUUCACCUAAGGCCUUGUGUCCACCUGGGGACUGGUGAUCACCUGGGGCCUGGGUGUCCACCUGAGGCCAGAGGUGCACCUAAGGCCUGAGUUUUCACCUGGGCCUGAUGAUCACCUGGGGACUGGGUGUGUGCCUUGGGUCUUUUCCCUUUUCCUGAACAGGGCUUGCAGUUUCCAAACCAGACACAAUCUCCCAGUUGGAGAAAGAAAAAGGAUCCUAGAUGAUAGUGAGACAAAUUUCAGGAAACUCCAUCCAAAUAAGUAAAUGAGAAUGAGGACAGGAUUCAUUGCAUGGUGGCAUGUGCCUGCAGUCCCAGCUACUCAAGAGGCUGAGGUGGGAGGAUCGCUUGAACUCAGGAGUUGAAGGCUGCAGUGGGUGAGGAUCACAACACUGAAUUCCAGCUGAGGUGACAGAAUGAGACCCUGUCUCUCUAAAAAACAAGCAAGCAAACAAACCAAAAACCACAGACAAACCAGACCCCUCUUAGCAGAAUACUUCCAUGAGGUAAUAAAAGAAAGAAGAAAGUGAAACGAACAAACAAUUUUACUCAAGAAACUAGUGAGAAAUCAAAGAAAUGUCCAAGAAGUAGGAGACAAGAAUUAAUCAAAACAGAUUAACAGUGGAAUAAAUAAAUGAAUCCAACUGGUUCUUUGUAAUGGAAUGUAGAAAGACAUACUCUAUUCUUCUGGAUAGGAAGAUGAAAUAUCAUAAUCAUAUCAAUGCAAGUUUUAUGCAUGCUCAAACAUGUAUAAACUAAGAAAAAAUCUGAAAGGACAGACAGCAAAAUGUUUGCAGUUUUUUUCCUCCAAGUGGUAAGAUUAAAGAACACAGACAAAAAUAGAAACUCCUCACAUGACCCACCACGAAGCCCAUCAGAUGGCAGAAUGCAGAAUCAGGUUGCAAUGGACUGAUCUUAAAACAGAUGAAGCAGUGGAGAAAAUCUUCCUGGAGCUGAUGGUAUAAUUUGCUUCUUGAAACAAUGACAGUCCAUGAAAUAAGGUGGGGAAGAUGUUUUGAACCUCUCUCAGCAGCAGAUCCCUAAAUCACAGACCCAGAACUUGGAGGAAACAGGAAACAGGAGGCCAUCUCUGCACCUCUCCAGCACUGCUCUGGUUGGUGGGCAGAAUAUCAUACAAUCAUCACGAUUCUUAUAUCAAAAACCAAAUUCUAGACUGAUUAAAUAAUUAUUUUUUUAAAUGAGAAAAGUUAUCGUUUAUUUGAUCUUGGGCUAGGGAAGAUAUUUCCAAGCAAAAAGGGUAAAAAGAAGGAAAAAGAAAUGAUUAACAGAUUGGAAGGCAAUAACAAUAUAAUAUCAAGUGCUGGCAAGAGCUCAGAGAAGUGUGUGUUCUCAUGACUGCUGGAACAAAUUGGUAUAAUAUUUCUGAAGGGCAAUCUGGCUGAAUAUGUUAGAAGUCUUUAAAAUAUUUAUACUCUGACUCAGUAAUUCAACAUCUAGAAAUUUUUCCUAAGUAAGUAAUAAGAAAGAGUUGAAAAAAGUAUUUGAAUAUUGAAAGACUGGAAAGAACAUAAAGGUUCAAUAAUACAUAUAUGUUCAACAACAGGGGACUAGUAAAUAUGAAUUAUUUAUAUGAUAAAAUACUAUCUAACCUUAAAAUAAUGUUUUAAAUAAUAUUUAAUGAUGAGAAUAUGCUGAGAAAAGUUUAAUCAUUUUAAAAAAGUUACAUGCAAAAUUAAAGUUAAUAACAUGUACAAGAUUAUUCUAAUUUUUUUUUUUUUUGAGAUG
rnacentral:lncRNA from 1 species